rnacentral:rRNA from 1 species
GGAUGAAGUGUCUUCACGAUCGUAAACUGCUGUUAUAAGGGAAGAAAAACUUUAGUAGGUAAUGACUAGAACUUGACGGUACCUUAUCAGAAAGCGACGGCUAACUAUGUGCCAGCAGCCGCGGUAAUACAUAGGUCGCAAGCGUUAUCCGGAAUUAUUGGGCGUAAAGAGUUCGUAGGUGGUCUUGUCAGUCUGAAGUUAAAGCCCGGGGCUCAACCCCGGCCCGCUUUGGAUACUGCAAGACUAGAGUAUUAGAGAGGUUAGUGGAACUCCAUGUGAAGCGGUGGAAUGCGUAGAUAUAUGGAAGAACACCAAUGGCGAAGGCAACUAACUGGCUAAUAACUGACACUGAGGAACGAAAGCGUGGGUAGCAAACAGGAUUAGAUACCCUGGUAGUCCACGCUGUAAACGAUGAUCACUAGACGGUAGAGGAUUUACUGUCACAGCUAACGCAUUAAGUGAUCCGCCUGAGUAGUAUGCUCGCAAGAGUGAAACUCAAAG